GUGCUCACUUCGGCAGCACAUAUAGUAAAAUUGGAAUGAUACAGAGAAGAUUAGAAUGGCCCCUGCGCAAGGAUGACACGCAAAUUUAAAAAAAAAAAGAAAGAAAG
rnacentral:snRNA from 1 species